rnacentral:lncRNA from 1 species
GUACGGGAGUCGGUUUGCGAGCUUUGCGGGCGGGUCCCUUCGGGUGUCAGUGGCAGGACAGGAAGUCCCCUGGUCCUUAUCUCUGACAUUCAGCGUCCCACAGCGUGAGCGGCACUCCUGACUCCUGAAGAAAUAACGUGUGUGCACACCCAGUCUUCCUGUGUGGCAGUUGUACUGACUGGAUUUCUGGGCGUCACUUCCGCACGUAGGGCUUCUCUGCCUCCUUUGCAUAGUCCGCCUGCCAACGCCAUUUGAGUUUAUUGGGGUUUUUACGAGAAAUGGUCCCAGAGAAAGUGAGUUCUGAAAGGGGCUCGGUGCACUAGAAGGUGGCCCCUUUGUCUUUCCAGUAAAGUAGUUGCAGCGUUUGAGGGGAAGCUCCCUGCGAAUAGAAAUCCGACCUGAAGGAACUCCCGUCUGGCCGGAAUUCUGUCACUAGUCCUUGGGAACAGAGGCAUCAGCAUUCUUGGAAGGGAAGGUCCCAGCUCUGCAUGGCCCUAGGAUGAUUGCGCGGGAUGUGCUCGGUAACCCUUGACUCAGUAGCCAUCACGCACUGGGUGGUGCUGGGAGGGUCUUUCUGUGCAGUUCAGGCUGCCCUUGAACUGUGUAACCUUGGCUCACCUUGAACUGGAGGCGAUCUGCCUGCCCCAGCCUCCUGAGAGCUGGGAUUACAGGUAUCAUGCACCACGUGCAGCAGUAAUUUGUUGUUGGUAAUGAUAAAUUUUGCAGGAAAGUUAUAAGGAACUAUUCUGCAUUACUCUAAAUGGGAAAAUUAGAAUGCAUCACACUUCUCCAAACCAGUUUUUAAAAAUGUAAAUAAAAUACAGUACAGUGCCCACUUACAAAUAACAGACCCUUUAUGACUUAUACUUAAAAAGAUUUUGUAUCAUGUUAAAAACCCUUAAAACAUUGUUUACUAAUGUGCAGACAAUUGCCUUGGGGGUUUACAUGGCCUCAAUUAGUGCCAGAAACCUCACUGAAACUAUUCAGUUGCCAUUCAUUGUGAUUUUCCAAAUCCACGUGUUUGUGAAGUUCUGUUGAUUGUAUUUGACAUGACAUUGAACACUUUCUCCCCCACAUGAUUUUGUUAAAAACAUUGAGUUUUAGAGGCUUAGAUGUAUCAGCAUUUGCUAUAUAAGGAGCCAAUAAAAACUUAAUAGCUCCACAAAAUCAACUUCUUAAUUUUUUUCUUGACAUUCUGUGGAUGUGCAUUUGGGUUGGGCUCUGCUGGGAAGUUCUUAUGCUGGGGUUGCUUGGAUCACAGAUAAGGCUCUAUUCAUCUACUGAGGCUGGUGGUACAGAGUCUGGCAAUUCAUGCUGACUCUUGUCCUCGUCAGAUUAGCCCCAGGCCUCUUCACAAUGUGCCUGUGUGUCCAAGUGCGCAAGCAACAGCUGGGAAGGACUUUCUGAACCUACCUAUGCAUUGUACUUACUGAUGUCCCGAUGGCCAGAGAAUUCAGAGAAAAAGCCCAGAUCAUCAUUGGAACAUGGUAUACAUGGGCUUAGAUGCAAGGAGACUUGCCUGAGGGUAUCAUUCCUGAAAGAGUAUGCCACAAGACAUUGUGUGUGUGUGUGUGUGUGUGUAUAUAUAUAUAUAUAUAUAUAUAUUUUCCCCUCCUAUAUAAUUGUGAGCAAAAACUGUUGGGUUGCAAGAGGUAUACUGUCUGCAACGUUCAGGUAAUAUAAAAUCAUGGAGUGUUGGAUGGAAACACUUACCUGGAGUCCUUUGUGGAACCCUCAUAGUAAUAGGGAAGUAGUUAAUUAGGCCCAAGUAUAUUUCUAUAUAGUAAUUUUACUGACAACAUGUUUCCUUCUUUGGGUUUUAUACUUUCAGGUAAUAUAAUUUUGGGAAGUCAGUGGCUAGUGUGUGGUUUUAUUAACCCAAAAACAUUGUAUGUUUAAUCAUUGCAAAGUACUGUGCUUGCGGAUGUGUUUUGGGUAUUAUCUUUGCCGCCUCUUGUUGAGCUGUAAACUGCUGUUGUCCUGUAGUGCGGCCGUUUCCAGCUGAUGCUUGGUGAGCUUACAGAGGGAGCCAGGACCGAGCCCCACGCAGUUGUGACUGCUGCACUCGCCUUUCCCCUCUGUGUUCCCACAAGCACAAAACACGGGUCAGUCUCUGGUGAGCUCUUUCUCAUUCCUCACUGAGGUUUUUGCUGUUUUUAUUAGCCCACAUUUGUAGGCCACCGUGUUUGCAUUCCUUGUGUGGAGGUGCUGCAUGGAUGGAACCAUCUCAGUUCCCCGGUUCACUCCCUGUCCUUCGCUCUCUCACCCUCUCCAUCUCUGGACCCAGAGACCCAGCCCCUUCUUUCUCAUCAGGUUCUUUCUAAUCUAAUGCUAGAGGCCUGGGCAGAAGCUGCAGCACUGCUUAGGAAUAGUGAACUCUGCAGCAGGCUUUUUUCUUUUUAC